rnacentral:lncRNA from 1 species
AUGCCCGUUCCGGGGCCGCGCGAGACACAGGCGCCGCGCAGGGCCGCCGGAAGUUCCCCAUGGCCUGCCGGGCGCCGUGACAAGCUUGCGCCUUGCUUCCACAGGGAGGAUCCGGCUCUACUUUUUAGCAGGUUCCUGGCGGGUCUCGCCAGCGGGUCCAAGAACCCGGAUCAGGGCGGACCUGGGCCCCCUGAAGUUUAUCUACAGCACAUGUGGAGGUCAGCAGCCUGGAGUUCCAAAUGCAGGAUGAACACUGCAUGUACAAGCCAUUGAAGCUGGGGUGCUCCAUGCUGAUAUUUCAGCUGACACCAAUUGUCACUAGUUACAACAGGAAAGUGCCUCUAAAGAG